rnacentral:rRNA from 1 species
CGGUAACAGGAUGUGCUUGCACAUCGCUGACGAGUGGCGGACGGGUGUAAUGCUUGGGAACUUGCCUUUGCGAGGGGGAUAACAGUUGGAAACGACUGCUAAUACCGCAUAAUGUCUUCGGACCAAACGGGGCUUCGGCUCCGGCGCAAAGAGAGGCCCAAGUGAGAUUAGCUAGUUGGUAAGGUAACGGCUUACCAAGGCGACGAUCUCUAGCUGUUCUGAGAGGAAGAUCAGCCACACUGGGACUGAGACACGGCCCAGACUCCUACGGGAGGCAGCAGUGGGGAAUAUUGCACAAUGGGGGAAACCCUGAUGCAGCCAUGCCGCGUGUGUGAAGAAGGCCUUCGGGUUGUAAAGCACUUUCAGUUGUGAGGAAAAGUUAGUAGUUAAUACCUGCUAGCCGUGACGUUAACAACAGAAGAAGCACCGGCUAACUCCGUGCCAGCAGCCGCGGUAAUACGGAGGGUGCGAGCGUUAAUCGGAAUUACUGGGCGUAAAGCGCACGCAGGCGGUUUGUUAAGCUAGAUGUGAAAGCCCCGGGCUCAACCUGGGAUGGUCAUUUAGAACUGGCAGACUAGAGUCUUGGAGAGGGGAGUGGAAUUCCUGUAGCGGUGAAAUGCGUAGAUAUCUGGAGGAACAUCAGUGGCGAAAGCGACUCCCUGGCCAAAGACUGACGCUCAUGUGCGAAAGUGUGGGUAGCGAACAGGAUUAGAUACCCUGGUAGUCCACACCGUAAACGCUGUCUACUAGCUGUGUGUGCCUUUAAGGUGCGUAGCGAACUAACGCGCUAAGUAGACCGCCUGGGGAGUA